rfam:Otolemur garnettii contig171150, whole genome shotgun sequence.
GCCAGCUGCGGUGGUGUGUGCCUGUAGUCCCGGCUACUCGGGAGGCUGAGACAGGAGGAUCGCUUGAGUCCAGGAGUUCUGGGCUAUAGUGCACUAUGCCGUUCAGGUGUCUGCACUAAGUUCGACAUCAAUAUGGUGACCUCCUGGGAGUCGGGGGCCACCAGGUUGCCUAAGAAGGGGUGAACCGGCCCAGACUGGGAACGGAGCAGGUCAAAACUCCCAUGCUGAUCAGUAGUGGGAUCCUACCUGUGAUUAGCCACUGCACUCCAGCCUGGGCAACAUAGAGAAACCCCAUCUCUU